UACGUAGGUCGCAAGCGUUGUCCGGAUUUACUGGGCGUAAAGAGCGCGCAGGCGGCUGGUCAAGUCCGAUGUGAAAUCUCCCGGCUCAACUGGGAAACUGCAUCGGAAACUGAUCGGCUUGAAGAUGGGAGAGGGUAGUGGAAUUCCCGGUGUAGUGGUGAAAUGCGUAGAUAUCUGGAGGAACACCGGUGGCGAAGGCGACAUCCUGGACCGGUAUUGACGCUGAGGCGCGAAAGCCAGGGGAGCAAACGGG
rnacentral:rRNA from 1 species